CAUCUACUCCCUCCGUCCGGAAAUUCUUGUCCUUAAAAUUGAUAAAAUAUCUAUAACUAAAAUAAGUCUAGAUACAACCAUUUCGAGGACAAGUAUUUCUGGAUGGAGGGAAUAUUAG
rfam:Triticum aestivum genome assembly, contig: Triticum_aestivum_CS42_TGACv1_scaffold_577824_7BL